rnacentral:rRNA from 1 species
CCAGCUCCAAUAGCGUAUAUUUAAGUUGUUGCAGUUAAAAAGCUCGUAGUUGGAUUUCGGGUGGGUUCUAGCGGUCCGCCUCUGGUGUGUACUGCUAUGGCUCACCUUUCUGCUGGGGACACGCUCUUGGGCUUAACUGUCCGGGACGUGGAAUCAGCGAUGCUACUUUGAGUAAAUUGGAGUGUUCAAAGCAGGCGUACGCUAUGAACAUAUUAGCAUGGAAUAGCACGAUAGGACUCUGGCCUAUCUUGCUGGUCUGUAGGACCGGAGUAAUGAUUAAGAGGGACAGUCGGGGGCAUUCGUAUUUCAUUGUCAGAGGUGAAAUUCUUGGAUUUAUGAAAGACGAACUUCUGCGAAAGCAUUUGCCAAGGAUGUUUUCA